AUCUGGGAAGGAAGCAAGCGGCAGCGCCGGAGUGAGUAACCGCCUCCCGAGGCAGCUAGUCCCGCCGCCUCAGGAAGUCCCGGCGCCAUAGCGCACCGCCGCCCGCCACGCCGGGACCUUCCCCUCGCACUAGCCCGCCCCCACCCCGCCUCCAUCUCGCGCUCCCAGCCGCAGACGCGGGCGCUUCUGCACGCUCAACCCCUCACCCACGCAGACGCUCAACCUCUUACCCACGCAAACCCCGGCCCGCCGGUGACCUCCCCUGCGGCUCCUCCUUCUGCUCUGGCCCAGCCCAUCCCCUGCUGCUGCUCCUCCUGCCCCGGCCCAGCCAGUCCACCGCCCUCCCAUCCCCUCGAACCCCAACCCGCCGAGCCGCUCCUCACUGGGUGCUGCGGUUCCCCGCUGCAAAGGGGCGGGUCCCGGUAGGGGGCGUGGCCCGGCCGACUUGCGGGGCGGCGGCGCCCUCUGUCGGCAGACUCGGGAACUGCCACACUCGUCACCCCGCCCCCGGCCCUGCUCCCAGACCCGCCUGGACCUCUCUGCCAGCUCCCCUCUCUCCAGGACGUGCGCCUGCAGGACUCGGAACGUGCAGAGGUCCGUCCUGGCCCCAGCCAUGCCACGGGCUGUCUGAGAGAGAGUCGCAGCCUCUCUGAGGCUUAGCUUCCUUUCCUGUGAAAUGGCUGUGGUGAGGAGCAAACGCUCAGCAGUGAAGAAGGACACUUUGUAACCGCAAAGGAGCCUGUGAGUGUGAGCCCCACAGUGGAAGGAGAGCAUAAGUCACCUCCAGAGAUGAUCACAUGUGGUGGAUUGCCUUCAGCCUUUUUUCUGGGUGUAAAAUAUACAUAUAUGUAUUUUAAUACAAUCGUGGCCAUUCUCUA